UUGGUUGGUGCGCGCAGGCACCGCCCCUUUUUCUGCGACCGGAGCGUCCCUCGCGGCGGGGGUCUUCCGUUCUGACUCCACCGGCUCCGCGCCCCGGAAGUUCGAGGAGCCGAUAGACCAGCUUUCCGGCACCUUCCGGUUUAAAAACCAGGCCAGGGUUUUGCCCGAGAAGGAGCCACUCCCGGGCCGAGUUAGCCGGUGAGAGGGAGAUAGGCGCCGGCAGACGCUGCUCUCAGCAUCAGGACCUUAAAGAUGCCUGGUGAGCCAGCCUUUUUCCGCCCCCUCCGCCUCCUCACUUAUUGGUCCUUCAGGGUCCUUGGUGCUGGAGGAUGUGGUAGGGGAGGGUCGUUCGCAAUGCCUUCAGCCCUGCAGCCAGCUCAAAAGUCUCAGUGCUUUUUGUCCUUGAGUUUCCACUAACCUUAGUCCUUCCACUAUCUUUAAAUGACGCUUUGCCUUGUCUUUAAGCCAAGGUUCUUCCAUUAUGUCAGAAUUCAGCGCAGAACACACACGCCCAUCGAGAUUCUACGCCUGAACUCGCCUUAUUAGCCUCCCUUCUCCCCUCCAAGCCUGUCCCACUUUAGAGCUCAAGUGCCCUCCGCGAGGUCUGGCUUGGCUGCUAAGUGCCUUUGCGGUAGGAGGCAAUGCUUUUUUUCCUUCUUGGAAACGAGAUGCCUGUUGUACCAGCAGAAUGACAUGUGCUCUAUGGUAGGAGAAAUUGGUCGGUUUUGUGUACGUGUAAGAAACUUAACUGCAGCUGUCCGUUGUUAACGCCAAAGCUUGUCUUUUGAACCCUCGCGUUCCCAGCUCUUGACUAGCCACCCGGCCAGCCUGAAAGCCCUUCCUUACGGACUGCAUUUUUUUUUAAUACCUUCUGGCUCUGUAUUUUUGUUUCAUCAGAGCAAAAUGAUUUACUGUAUCUGGUUGGCUCAUCCCUGCCUUUGCAUUGUUGAGUCCAGCACCUGCUUUUGCUGCUGCUGCUAUUGCAGGGAAAAGCCAAUCUGUUGGAACUGUCUUUGACUUGCUUUUCCUUGCUUUUGUUAUUAUAAUCAUACAUAAUGGCUUACCUCUGAGAAUCAUGCCCUUCUGCCUGUUAAAAUGCCUUUGUUCAGAGACCUGUCCACCUCUAGAUGGCAGGAAGGAGGAACAUAUACCCUGCCUGAGGCCUGCCAUUCUAGGAGACAGCUGCAAGAUUAAUGGCUUUUUUAUUUUGUUUCCUCACCUCCCCCCAUCUCUGAUCAAUAAAAGAACCUGGUAUCCAGACCCCAAGAUGGUUAUUUUGAGAUAUUAGUCUGCCAUCUUCUCGGUCAGUCAGCUCUCGGAAUAAAGUUGUAUUCCUUGUCUCAUCCCCCUCCUCUGCAAUUCAUUGGCCUGUUGUAAAGCGAGCAGAGUGAGCUUAGACAAGAUAACUUGUUUAGUCCCUAAGGCGUGUCUUAUUCUUUUGUGACCCCACAGACUGUAGCCCGUAAGGCUCCUCUGUCCAUGGGAUUUCCCAGGCAAGAAUACUGGAGUGGGUUGCUGUUUCCUUCUCCAGGGGAAUCUUCCCAACCCAGAGAUCCUGUCUCCUGCCUGGCAGGAGAGCAGAGUCAGCUUCAGUGAGGUCACGUCACUCCUUUGCUGGGCUUCCCUGGUGGCUCAGACGGUGAAGAAUCUGUCUGCAAUGCAGACACCCGGAUUUGAUCUGUGGGUCAGGAAGAUCUCCUGGAGGAGAGCAUGGCUACCAACUCCAUUAUUCUUGCUUGGAGAAUUCCAUGAACAGAGGAGCCUGGUGGGCUGUAGUCCAUGGGAUCGCAAAGAGUCAGACACAACUGGGCAACUAACACUUCCACUUCAGAGCUCAGAAUAAAUGUCAAAAGUCCUUA